rnacentral:rRNA from 1 species
UACGGAGGGGGCUAGCGUUGUUCGGAAUUACUGGGCGUAAAGCGCACGUAGGCGGAUCAGUCAGUCAGGGGUGAAAUCCCGGGGCUCAACCCCGGAACUGCCUUUGAUACUGCUGGUCUGGAGGAUGGGAGAGGCGAGUGGAAUUCCGAGUGUAGAGGUGAAAUUCGUAGAUAUUCGGAGGAACACCAGUGGCGAAGGCGGCUCGCUGGCCCAUUUCUGACGCUGAGGUGCGAAAGCGUGGGGAGCAAACAGG